rnacentral:rRNA from 1 species
AUGAAUGCGGCGGCUGACCCGUCCACGGCGACCGGCGUCACCAUGGAGACCGGCAUGUCGUCCGCGACCCGGCCAUCACAAGUGACAAGUCGAGGUACCCCGCCUCGCCAACAAGUCUUCGUUGCCGGAGACACCGGAGGAACCACCAGCGGCCGUGGGCUGCGUCACUCACAACAUCGGGUUAACCGUUGGAACAGAGUGAUCCGCGUGCAGAGGUGGCACACGACACGACACGAGCUUCCUCCUAGGGAUCGACGCCGGGAGUUGGUACCAGAUCGCGACUGGGAGUGCGCCGUCAAGCCGGGCAAGCAUGACUUUCCUCCUUCUCCGGGCACCAACCCCCGUGGCCCCGUCUCUGGAUCGACUUGA